AUCCAGCAAUUUUUUGUUUGAAGAGUUUAGAACAGCAUCCAGUCAUCACAGAUAUCUCCUUACGUGGAGCAGAAGCGAAGUGAUCCCAUGUUACCUGUUGCCACAUGAAGAGUUUUGGGCGUGUCUUAUCUGAGAUGCCUUCAUGCAUGUGAGGGGACUGAGUUUCAGGGAGGAUAGUCGUGAGAAACGAUUUGGAGUUGUUCCACAUGAAAGAACCUCUGAAGUGGAUUACAGUGAAGUACAAAGGUUGUUUUUAUAGUGUUUUUCAGCUGGCGAUGAAGAGUUAU